rnacentral:rRNA from 1 species
UGUGACCUCAAAUCACGUAGGACUACCCGCUGAACUUAAGCAUAUCAAUAAGCGGAGGAAAAGAAACUAACAAGGAUUCCCCUAGUAACUGCGAGUGAAGCGGGAAAAGCUCAAAUUUAAAAUCUGGCAGUCUUUGGCUGUCCGAGUUGUACCGUGUACAAGUCUCCUGGAAUGGAGCGUCAUAGAGGGUGAGAAUCCCGUCUUUGACACGGACUACCAGGGCUUUGUGAUGCGCUCUCAAAGAGUCGAGUUGUUUGGGAAUGCAGCUCAAAAUGGGUGGUAAAUUCCAUCUAAAGCUAAAUAUUGGCGAGAGACCGAUAGCGAACAAGUACCGUGAGGGAAAGAUGAAAAGAACUUUGGAAAGAGAGUUAAACAGUACGUGAAAUUGCUGAAAGGGAAACGCUUGAAGUCAGUCGCGUCGUCCAGGGAUCAACCUUGCUUUUGCUUGGUGCACUUUCUGGCUGACGGGUCAGCAUCAAUUUUGAUCAUUGGAAAAAGAUUAAGGGAAUGUGGCAUCUUUGGAUGUGUUAUAGCCCUUGGUUGCAUACGAUGGUUGGGAUUGAGGAACUCAGCACGCCGCAAGGCCGGGUUUUAAACCACGUACGUGCUUAGGAUGCUGGCAUAAUGGCUUUAAUCGACCCGUCUUGAAACACGGACCAAGGAGUCUAACAUGCCUGCGAGUGUUUGGGUGGAAAACUCGAGCGCGUAAUGAAAGUGAAAGUUGAGAUCCCUGUCGUGGGGAGCAUCGACGCCCGGACCAGACCUUUUGUGACGGUUCCGCGGUAGAGCAUGUAUGUUGGGACCCGAAAGAUGGUGAACUAUGCCUGAAUAGGGUGAAGCCAGAGGAAACUCUGGUGGAGGCUCGUAGCGAUUCUGACGUGCAAAUCGAUCGUCAAAUUUGGGUAUAGGGGCGAAAGAC